UCAAGACACAGCUGUAGAACUAGAUAACUGUGACGUAACAGACAGCUGCGUGUCGUAA
rnacentral:pre_miRNA from 1 species